GUGCUCGCUUUGGCAGCACAUAUACUAAAAUUGGAAUGAUACAGAGAAGAUUAGCAUGGGCCCUGCACAAGGAUGACACGCAAAUUCAUGAAGCGUUGCGUAUUUUU
rnacentral:snRNA from 1 species